AUUGGCUGAUCAUGAAAAUGUAUACAACUGAUUAUAUAUAAAUGAUUACGAAGCCUUAGGGUCCAAACGAUCUUAACUUAUUCUCAAACUUUAAAUGGGUAAAAAACCUGACCUUUCUUGGUGUGAAGGUUGUGGUUGUGAUAUAAUGUGGCCAAUGGGCCAAUGUUGGUAAACAGAACUGGUGCUGUGGGAUGAACCAAACAUAAUUUUACGGUGCCAAAAUUGACAAC
rnacentral:ncRNA from 1 species